CCUAGUUAAAGUUGAAAACAAAGAACCAUUCCACAACUACAAACAAAAGAAAUAAGAAGGGGAAGAAUUUCUGGUAAUUGGGCUAAAAGUGACAAAUGCAAUUAUGGCAGGGGAUUAAUAAGCUUCUAACGGUUAAAGGCAUCGUUUAACAUCAACUAAACAUGGUGCCAUCCUGUUUUAUUUGCAACUUUUGGCAGACUUUUUCUGAUUGUCAUAGUGGCAGCCCACUAAAUGUCUUUAGAUAAUUCACAUGCAUGAAAGUUACAAACAUAAGGUUUAAUUUAAUUGUAUUUCAUUUAGAAUCAUCUGUUUUUAGUACAUAUGAACUUUGUAGAUCUCAUGGUUGAGAAAUU
rnacentral:misc_RNA from 1 species